rnacentral:rRNA from 1 species
AGCUCGUAGUCGAACUUCGGGCUCUGUCAGCCGGUCCGCCUUCUUGGUGUGUACUUGUUUGACGGAGCCUUACCUCCUGGUGAACGGCGAUGUCCUUUACUGGGUGUCGUCGCAAACCAGGACUUUUACUUUGAAAAAAUUAGAGUGUUCAAAGCAGGCCUUUGCCCGAAUACAUUAGCAUGGAAUAAUAAAAUAGGACGCGCGUUCCCAUUUUGUUGGUUUCUGAGAUCGCCGUAAUGAUUAAUAGGGAUAGUUGGGGGCAUUUGUAUUCCGUCGUCAGAGGUGAAAUUCUUGGAUUGCCGGAAGACAAACUACUGCGAAAGCAUUUGCCAAGGAUGUUUUCAUUGAUCAAGAACGAAGGAAGGGGGAUCGAAAACGAUUAGAUACCGUUGUAGUCUCUUCUGUAAACUAUGCCAAUUGGGGAUCGGUACAGGAUUUUUAAUGACUGUAUCGGUACCCGAAGAGAAAUCUUUAAAUGAGGUUCGGGGGGGAGUAUGGUCGCAAGGCUGAAACUUAAAGGAAUUGACGGAAGGGCACCACCAGGUGUGGAGCCUGCGGCUUAAUUUGACUCAACACGGGGAAACUCACCAGGUCCAGACACAAUAAGGAUUGACAGAUUGAUAGCUCUUUCUUGAUCUUGUGGUUGGUGGUGCAUGGCCGUCUUAUUGGUGGAGUGAUUUGUCUGGUUAAUUCCGAUAACGAACGAGACCUUAACCUGCUAAAUAGACCAGCCGGCUUUGGCUAGCUGCUGUCUUCUUAGAGGGACUAUCAGCGUUUAGCUGAUGGAAGUUUGAGGCAAUAACAGGUCUGUGAUGCCCUUAGAUGUUCUGGGCCGCACGCGCGCUACACUGACAGAGCCAGCGAGUCUACCACCUUUGCCGGAAGGCAUGGGUAAUCUUGUGAAACUCUGUCGUGAUGGGGAUAGAACAUUGCAAUUAUUGUUCUUCAACGAGGAAUACCUAGUAAGCGUGAUUCAUCAGAUCGC